CCUACGGGAGGCUGCAGUGAGGAAUAUUGGUCAAUGGACGAGAGUCUGAACCAGCCAAGUAGCGUGAAGGAUGACUGCCCUAUGGGUUGUAAACUUCUUUUAUAUGGGAAUAAAAUGUUCCACGUGUGGGAUUUUGUAUGUACCAUAUGAAUAAGGAUCGGCUAACUCCGUGCCAGCAGCCGCGGUAAUACGGAGGCUCCGAGCGUUAUCCGGAUUUAUUGGGUUUAAAGGGAGCGUAGGUGGAUUGUUAAGUCAGUUGUGAAAGUUUGCGGCUCAACCGUAAAAUUGCAGUUGAAACUGGCAGUCUUGAGUACAGUAGAGGUGGGCGGAAUUCGGGGUGUAGCGGUGAAAUGCUUAGAUAUCACGAAGAACUCCGAUUGCGAAGGCAGUUCACUGGACUGCAACUGACACUGAGGCUCGAAAGUGUGGGUAUCAAACAGGAUUAGAUACCCUGGUAGUC
rnacentral:rRNA from 1 species